UGUGUACACACCGCUGAGCCCACCAGGCUCCUACAGAUAGCUCCAAACUCAUGGUCACACAGAGGGCUCUGAUUAAGCCCAGUGAACCACAUAACAAAAGGAAUAGACAUGAACAUGAGAGAUUUUUAGGCCAAAGUGGAAUGGCGAGGAUGGUCGGGGUGGCGGUGAGAUACAAGGAGGUGAGGGUAAGAGUGACCAGUGUGCAUUGUGCAUGUGUGUGAAAUUACCCAAGAACAAAUACAAUACCGAAGGCAAAUAAAUGGUGAGCCAAGGUUGAAAAUAGUGAGGAAGUGGGUGGCCUCCUAGCAAAAAGCACAGCACCAAAAUCAACUAGGAAAAAGAUGAAAACUUGGACAGAACAACCAGUAGAGGUGAUGAUGUUGUCCUGUGUUAAAUGCUGAGCCAUUCUUGGAACAAAACUUACCUGUUAUUAUUAUUUAUUUUGGAGGGUUUUGAGACCGUCUCUGGUAGCCCAGGCUGGCCAGGAACUCACUGGGCAGCCUAGUCUGGCCUUGAAUUAAUAGCAAUCCCCCAGCUUAGUUUCUCAAGUGCAGGGAUGUUACUGCUACACUCCGCUCUCUAUUUUCAUUCUGGAUGUCUGGUUCUUUGGACACAUUGCUGGAUUCUACUUUGCAAUGUAUUGUUUCAGAUUUUUGGUUCUAUAAUCAAUAAUAAGGUUGUCCUAUUGCCAAGGUCACCAAAAAUACCACCCAUGGGUCAAGUCUAGCCUACUGCUCAUGUGACCUUUUUUUUUUUACAGUGCCCAUUCCUUGCUGGGCCAUCACAGUAGAAGGAAGGAGGAAUAUAUGGUAAAGAGAUGGGAGAGAAAGAGGAACUGAGAAUUCUGUGAGCUAUGAAGAAAGGCAGAACUCAAGGAGCAAUGGCAGUGAGGAACACUCUGACAUGAGAGCCCUGCACAGCCACCUGAGACCGUGUGAUGUCUGGGCCCCUGCUGCAACCAAGGGCCAUGUCUGGGUCCAUGGUCCUUAUGCAGCUGGGGUCUGUGUUGAUGUCAGUGACCUGUACUAACACCAAAGGCUGAGGAUGCCCGGGGUAUGCAAUGCAGCCAGAAGCCAGGAGGGCGGGACCAGUGGUGACAUGAGCUUGGGAGAGUUGGCACCAAUAGUGUGGGAGAGCCCUCACUGGGGUGGCACAGGAGACCUGGCCCUGGUGCCCUGAGUAUGGGAGAGCCAGCCUUGCACUGCACGGGGGAAGUGCAGGAGAACUGGCAUUGAUGGUGUGGGCAUGGGUGAGCUGGUCCUACUCCUCACCUGGGCUGUGUGGGAGAGCAGGCCCUGAUGUGGAAGCAGGAGAGCUGACCCUGAUGUGAGCCCAGGAGCGCUCAUGAUGCUGCUUGUGGGAGAGCUGGCACUACCAGAGCAGCAUGGGAGAACUGGCCCUGGUGGCAAGGUACGGGCAAGCCGGCCUGAAGCCUUGGGUAUGGCAGAGCUGUCCCCACCCCUCUCUGGCUGCUUCAGGAGAGCUGGCCCCGCCCCUCACCUGGACAGAGGGCAAGCCAUCUCUGGUGGUGUGGAUGAGGGAAAGCUGGCAAGCUGACCAACUCAACUACCACCCAGGCCCAGAUCCAGGGCUUUGGGUUGGCCCACUCCAACAUCUUCCCGAUUUCGGGAAGGCAUGAAGGGGCCACGCAUGUGGCUCCAUAGCUGCCAAGAUCCCUCACGGAUCAGGGCAACGGCAGGAUAUUUGAGAGUCUCUAUGACGGUCCAGUAUUGACUUUGCAGCAGAAGCCAGAGGUCUUGAACUAGCUUAAUGACUCAUUGCAAUGAAUAUUCUCAAGUAAAGUUGCUUGGGCAGAAGGGUACACCAUGUGACACUCUGCAACUUCCAGUGCCACUAUGGCGAAUGAGUGUGUGAUGGAGAUGCAGGAAAGACAGGAUGCAAACACAGAAGACUGCAGCUGAUAAAAGAGCAGGCUGUUGCCCAGAGGGGUUGCUGCAUCCACCGAUUCCAGAAAGGCUUUCAGUGAAGUCUGCCUAGAAGAUUCCAUGUUUCCUACUAAUCAUCGACUGUUCUGAAAACCGGUAAGAACGUGUUGCAUAGAUGUCUGUUAGUAUUUUAAUGAUUUUCAGUAGAUUAUGAGUAGGCUAGAUUCUCAUAUCAUGUGCAAAUAAUUAGAAAUCUGCUCCCUAAAUUUCAAUAUUUAUAAUCUCAGUUCCAAUUUCUUUUAGAAUAUUAACUUUAACC
rnacentral:lncRNA from 1 species